AGUUAUUGCCUCGGUGGCGUCAAAUAGUUUUCCACCGAUAUUCUCAUCCCAACAAACAAAUGAUUUCAGGUAGCUAGGAAAUUCGUUUAAAUGUGUUUUACAUUUUCAGUUUGAACUUUAAUGAGUUAUUUAAAUAACGCAUGUCUCAGACAAACUCUUGAGUCUUUUAGAGUGUUUGUUAUCCUAGCUUGUAAAGCUAGCUAACGUUACACUAGCCAUUGUCUUGGGUUGGAAGGUGACGGCAGCUCAAUAGCCCACCAUGUCUGAACCGGGUUCUGGCUGUGGCGUUCCAGUCCAGAGAAGCUCACAGCCUGGUCCAGAGACGGUGUCAGUGAAGCUGGAGGACUGCGGUCAAACACUGGAACUCAAUGAGAGAGCUCCAACUCAGGCUCACUCAGCGAGCCCAGUACCACAGUAUCAGGAAACCAGCAACAACACGAGGGAGGAACUCAAGGCAGAAACCUCACCACUGCUUGGACUGCUUCACUCGUUUCUGUGAUCCAGAGGAGUUGAGACACACUUGUAAAGACCGCAGCCACGGUGUAACAUGUCCUCCCAAACGGAAGAUGACUUCCAGCUCCUUCUCACCAAUCCUCCCACCAGUCCUCCCACCAGUCCUCCCAAACGGAAGAAGACUUCCAGCUCCUUCUCACCAGUCCUCCCAAACGGAAGACGACUUCCAGCUCCUUCUCACCAGUCCUCCCAAAUGGAAGAAGACUUCCAGCUCCUUCUCACCAAUCCUCCCAAACGGAAGAAUACUUCCAGCUCCUUCUCACCAGUCCUCCCAAACGGAAGAAGACUUCCAGCUCCUUCUCACCAGUCCUCCCAAACGGAAGAAGACUUCCAGCUCCUUCUCACCAGUCCUCCCAAACGGAAGAAGACUUCCAGCUCCUUCUCACCAGUCCUCCCAAACGGAAGAAGACUUCCAGCUCCUUCUCACCAGUCCUCCCAAACGGAAGAAGACUUCCAGCUCCUUCUCACCAGUCCUCCCAAACGGAAGAAGACUUCCAGCUCCUUCUCACCAAUCCUCUCACCAGUCCUCUCACCAAUCCUCUCACCAAUCCUCUCACCAAUCCUCUCACCAGUCCUUCCACAAUUUUCUUUCAUCAUCGUGUCAGCUAUUGGGGAUCCUAGUAAACAUAAAGAUAU